UUUAUAGAAAAUAAAAAACUUCGUAUAACUCCAAAGAUAUGGUUUGGGGGUCUCUACCAGGAACCAAUAAUUCCUGAUUACGAAGAAGGUACAUGUACUU
rnacentral:ncRNA from 2 species